GACGAACGCUGGCGGCGUGCUUAACACAUGCAAGUCGAACGGAAAGGCCCUGCUUUUGUGGGGUGCUCGAGUGGCGAACGGGUGAGUAACACGUGAGUAACCUGCCCUUGACUUUGGGAUAACUUCAGGAAACUGGGUCUAAUACCGGAUAGGAGCUCCUGCUGCAUGGUGGGGGUUGGAAAGUUUCGGCGGUUGGUGUUGGACUCGCGUCUUAUCGGCUUGUUGGUGGGGUAGUGGAUUACCAAGGCCUUGACGGGUAGCAGGCCUGGGAGGGUGACAGGCCAAGUUGGGACUGAGAUGCGGCCCAGACUCGUACGGGAGGCAGGAGUGGGGAAUAUUGCACAGUGGGCGGAAGGCUGAUGCAGCAAAGCCGCGUGGGGGAUGACGGGAAUGGGGUUGGAAACCGAUUUCGCCUGUGACGAAGCGUGAGUGACGGUAAUGGGUAAAGAAGCACCGGCUAACUACGUG
rnacentral:rRNA from 1 species